GGAUGUGAGGGGGAUCUGGCUGCGACAUCUGUCACCCCACUGAUCACCGGGGUUGACGAGGCUGAUGUGGCCGGCUAGGCGGGUGUCCCCUCCCUCCCACAUCCUCCAUGCGCAUCCCUCCCGAAACCCCACUGAUCACCCGGGUUGACGUGGCUGAUCUGGCCGGCUAGGCGGGUGUCCCAUCCCACAUCCUCCACGCAUGCGUCCCUCCCAAAGGACGGCCUUCCCGGGUCUUUGGUCGAGGGUGUCUGAGUAGCUGCACUCCCCUGCUAGGACCUCCAAACAAGCUUUCAAACACCCCGGCCACCACAGGGGAGUGCCUGCAGGGAGGCAGCAACACAAGUGGUAGGGUGGUGCUGUGGUGUCUCCUUUCUC
rnacentral:snRNA from 1 species